rnacentral:lncRNA from 1 species
UUAAUGAAAAAGUAAUUAAGUUUGGCUUGCCUAGCUCCUAUUAGUAGGAGCCAUCACAACCUUCGAGGGUGGGAAAUCCGAAUCAUCACAUACUCAAACACCAACAUAAGCUCCUACAGAUUUCACAAUGGAAAGCCAUACUUCAGCUCACGUCUCAGAUCCUCAAGAUCAUAUUGAAGAAAAGACAUCUGUGCAAAAUACCUGUUAUGCCUAUCACUGAGAAUCAUCAGAAUGAUCAACCUAACUAACAACCUGCCACUAGAAACUCAAGUAGAGGUACACAACCUCCAGUUUGGGUGAAAGAUUUUGUUUCUCUUAAUAUACAUUAGGAUGUACCCUAUGCCUUAAACAAAUACAUAGGAUAUAAAAAUCUGUCACCUAAGUAUCAAGCAUAUAUUGUUCCUUCUUCUACUGUUUGUGAACCUGCUGCAUACUUUGAAGCUAUUAAAGAUCCUCUAUGGGUUGAAACCUUCAUGAGCUGGAGUUUAGGAAUCGGGUAAAGGUGUUGUCCAUUCCAUAGACGAGAGACCAGUUGACCCACAAUGAAUAAAGGGAUAAAGACACUUGAAACUAAUCAUAUAUGGGAUGUUGUUAGUCUGUAACAAGGUAAAACCAAUAAGGUGUAAAUAGAUCUAUAAAAUAAAAUACAAGGCAUCAGGAGAGAUUGGAGAUUCAAAGCUCGAUUAUUAGCAAAAGGGUACAGUCAACAUGAAGAAAUUGACUACCAGGAAAUAUUUUUACCCGUUACGAAGAUAGUCACUGUAAGAACUGUACUGCAGUAGCAGCAACAAGAAAGUGGCACAUGCUCAAAUGGAUAUAUUCAAUGCAUUUCUUCAAGGAGAUCUUCAUGAUGAAAUAUAUAUGAACUCGCCUCGAGGAUUUAAUAGUCAGGGGGAGAGUAGAUCAGCGUACAGACUUGUUAAAUUCUUGUAUGGACUUAAACAAGCACCAAAACAGUAGUAUGAAAAACUGUUUGAAGCUCUACAAAAGUUCAAGUUUAAAAGAGUCAAUCUGAUCACUCUUUGUUCAUAAGAAGGACAAAUGAAGGCAUUGUUAUAGUCGUAGUAUAUGUUAAUGAUAUACUAAUCACAACAAAAAUUUUGAAACUUGUGAAAGAAACAAAAGCUUCACUACAGCAAGCUAACUAAAAUACUUUCUUGGCAUUGAAUUUGCCAGAUCUAAGCAAUGGAGCACAAUGCACCAGAGAAAGUGUGUGUUGGAACUCAUUUCAGAAGUUGUCCAAAAAACUACUAAACCUGCAGUAACUCCCAUUGAUAUUUCUAUGAAGCUUACUUCUAAACAAUAUGAUGAUCAUCUUGGAAAGAAUACAAAAACAGGAGAAGAUCCUUUAACAGAUCAAACAACCAAUCAAAGGCUCGUAGAAAAGUUAUUAUAUUUAGAAGUAACAAGGCCAGACCUUGCUGUUGGAGUUCAUACAUUGAGUGAAUUUCUUCAGCAACCAAAGAAAGCUCAUAUGGAAGAAGCCUUAAGAAUUGUAAGAUAUGUAACGCAAGGUAGGGUAAGGUUUGUAUACAUACUAUCCUUUCUAGACCCCACGGUUUGGGAUAAUACUGGGUAUGUUAUGAUUGUUGUUGUAUGUACAGAAUCAACUAGGGCAGGGCAUCCUGUUAUCCAGUAAUUUCAAUAAACAACAUCACUGCAUAUUGUGAUGCAGAUUGGGCAGCCUGCCUACUCACAAGAAACCCCAUUACUGGUUUCCUAGUUAAAGUAGGGGACUCUAUAAUAUCAUGGAAACCUAAGAAGCAAAUUACAGUUUCUAGGAGCUCUGCACAAGCUGAAUAUAAGAGCAUUGCAAUAACUGUAGCAGAACUGGUUUGGCUUUUUAGGUGUGCUAAAGGAAGUAGACACAAAAUUUAAGGCUCCAGUUAACAUUUAUACAGGCAGUAAGACAGCUAUACAAAUAGCUACAAAUCCAGUUUAUUAUGAAAAAACAAAACACAUAGAAAUUGAUUGUCAUUUCGUAAGAGAAAAAUACAACAAGGCCUACUAUCACCAACUACAUCACUACAAAAGAGCAACUUGCUGAUAUUCUCACCAAAGGUCUCAAUCGAGAACAGAGCAAGAAACUCCAAGAAAGUAAUCUAAAUCAUAAAUACGAAAGUUUCCCUACAAAGGGGUUGGCUUCAACAACCCAUAAAGAACGGCUUGCCA